GAUGAACGCUGGCGGCGUGCCUAAUACAUGCAAGUCGAACGGUCAGACGAGGAACUUUCUCCUUUGACUUUCGCGGCGGAGGGGGGUGUAACACGUGGAUAACCUACCUAUAAGAAUGGGAUAACUUCGGGAAACCGGAACCUAUACCGGCUAAUCUAUUUAACAGCAUGGUUCAAUAGUGUAAGACGGUUUUGCUGUCGCUUUUAGCUGGUUCCGCGCCGCAUUAGCUAGUUGGUAAGGUAACGGCUUACCCAGGCAACGAUGCGUAGCCGACCUGAGAGGGUGAUCGGCCACACUGGAACUGAGACACGGUCCAGACUCCUACGGGAGGCAGCAGUAGGGAAUCUUCCGCAAUGGGCGAAAGCCUGACGGAGCAACGCCGCGUGAGUGAUGAAGGUCUUCGGGUCGUAAAACUCUGUUAUUAGGGAAGAACAAAUGUGUAAGUAAAUAUGCACGUAUUGACGGUACUUGAUCAGAAAGCCACGGCUAACUACGUG
rnacentral:rRNA from 1 species